UUUGGAGAUGAGAGAGGAUUGUGAUUCUUAUCGUUAGGGUUAUCUUUUAUCUCUUUAAAUCCCUAAUUUUCUAUAAAAGAUUAUUCCACAUUUUCUCAUUCCUCAUUUUAAAGAGAGAUAAUAUUAUUACACCAAAGUGAUUAAAUGAAAAGAAAAAAUGAAAAAUUGUGAAUUUAUAUUUUAUAAGAAAUGAGAAAAAAAGACAAAAAUUUAAUUUCAUCCCUUAUUUCCUCAUUAAAAAAAAAAAAAACACUACCUAAGAAUACUAAGUUAUUGGACCAAUUUAAUAAGAACUACCUCAC
rnacentral:lncRNA from 1 species